rnacentral:rRNA from 1 species
GUGCCAGCAGCCGCGGUAAUACGUAGGUCCCGAACGUUGCGCGAAUUUACUGGGCGUAAAGGGUCCGUAGGCGGUCUGGUAAGUGGAAGGUGAAAUCCUGGGGCUCAACUCCAGAAUUGCCUUCCAAACUGCCGGACUUGAGGCAGGGAGAGGUCGGCGGAAUUCCCGGUGUAGCGGUGAAAUGUGUAGAUAUCGGGAGGAACACCAGUGGCGAAGGCGGCCGACUGGAACUGACCUGACGCUGAGGGACGAAAGCCAGGGGAGCGAACCGGAUUAGAUACCCGGGUAGUCCACGCCCUAAACGAUGUCUACUAGCCGUUGCGGGUAUCGACCCCUGCAGUGGCGCAGCUAACGCGAUAAGUAGACCGCCUGGGGAGUACGGCCGCAAGGUUAAAACUCAAAGGAAUUGACGGGG